rnacentral:rRNA from 1 species
AGAGUUUGAUCCUGGCUCAGGACGAACGCUGGCGGCGUGCUUAACACAUGCAAGUCGAACGAUGAACUGGAGCUUGCUCCAGGGAUUAGUGGCGAACGGGUGAGUAACACGUGAGUAACCUGCCCUUGACUCUGGGAUAAGCGCUAGAAAUGGCGUCUAAUACCGGAUACGAGCUUCAGCCGCAUGGCUAGGAGUUGGAAAGAAUUUUGGUCAAGGAUGGACUCGCGGCCUAUCAGCUAGUUGGUGAGGUAAUGGCUCACCAAGGCGACGACGGGUAGCCGGCCUGAGAGGGUGACCGGCCACACUGGGACUGAGACACGGCCCAGACUCCUACGGGAGGCAGCAGUGGGGAAUAUUGCACAAUGGGCGAAAGCCUGAUGCAGCAACGCCGCGUGAGGGAUGACGGCCUUCGGGUUGUAAACCUCUUUUAGUAGGGAAGAAGCGAAAUGACGGUACCUGCAGAAAAA